GUGGGGGAUAUUGCACAAUGGGCGCAAGCCUGAUGCAGCAACGCCGCGUGAGGGAGGACGGUCUUCGGAUUGUAAACCUCUGUCCUUGGGGAAGAAACAAAUGACGGUACCCUUGGAGGAAGCCACGGCUAACUACGUGCCAGCAGCCGCGGUAAUACGUAGGUGGCAAGCGUUGUCCGGAUUUACUGGGUGUAAAGGGAGCGCAGGCGGGACGGCAAGUUGGAUGUGAAAAACUGAGGCUCAACCUCAGUCCUGCAUCCAAAACUGUUGUUCUUGAGUGGAGCAGAGGUAAGCGGAAUUCCGAGUGUAGCGGUGAAAUGCGUAGAUAUUCGGAGGAACACCAGUGGCGAAGGCGGCUUACUGGACUCUAACUGACGCUGAGGCUCGAAAGCGUGGGGAGCAAACAGGAUUAGAUACCCCAGUAGUCC
rnacentral:rRNA from 1 species